rnacentral:rRNA from 1 species
GACGAACGCUGGCGGCGUGCUUAACACAUGCAAGUCGAACGGAAAGGCCCUGCUUUUGUGGGGUGCUCGAGUGGCGAACGGGUGAGUAACACGUGAGUAACCUGCCCUUGACUUUGGGAUAACUUCAGGAAACUGGGGCUAAUACCGGAUAGGAGCUCCUGCUGCAUGGUGGGGGUUGGAAAGUUUCGGCGGUUGGGGAUGGACUCGCGGCUUAUCAGCUUGUUGGUGGGGUAGUGGCUUACCAAGGCUUUGACGGGUAGCCGGCCUGAGAGGGUGACCGGCCACAUUGGGACUGCGAUACGGCCCAGACUCCUACGGGAGGCAGCAGUGGGGAAUAUUGCACAAUGGGCGGAAGCCUGAUGCAGCAACGCCGCGUGCGGGAUGACGGCCUUCGGGUUGUAAACCGCUUUCGCCUGUGACGAAGCGUGAGUGACGGUAAUGGGUAAAGAAGCACCGGCUAGCUACGUG